GCUGCCGUAACUACAUGAAACUUGAUGGAAAACCACUUAGUUAACAUCAGCUGAUCAUCCAGAUGCCUGAAGCAGGUGUUGAGAUGCCCUUGAGCAAGGCACGUCCAGCUGAUGCAGUGGAGCUAAUCGGCAUCGAGCAACAGAAGACAGACUGGUGAAGCAGUUGUGAAUGAGCAAGAUGAGUGGGAAGCAGAGCAUAUGUGCGUACGUACUCAGCCAAUAUACUGCUGCUUUUGAUCUAUAUGUCAUGGCGGAUUAAGAAGAACAAAGUUUCAUGUGACUAUGGGAUCUUUGGGCACACGCACUCACCAGCCGAAGCUGAUCAUGAGCAUCAUACUGAGUCGCUUUCGCCUGAUGAAGGUUAAAGUAUCAUCAGCAUUCGCAACAUCUGCAGGAGGUGAAACAGUGUACGAUAAUGAAUAUGAUUUACAACCUGUUUAUAAUUUAAAAUUCCAUAUGUAAGCAGUAUGUAUGGACACGACAAAACGCACAAACUAAUAAUAAAUAAAUAUAUUUGACUGUU